rnacentral:lncRNA from 1 species
GACUUCUAACCUUUGUUAUUUCAUUCUUCGUAUUAUGCUAGUAGUAGCCCCUGUACCUUGACUUGCGUUGGAUUUGUUGAUAUUGUCUGUUGUCUGUUGUUGCUGUUGCUGUGGUCGUUUCUUGCACUGCUUUGGACUGGGUUAUCGGCUUGGGAAUCUGUUUUGGGGGCUGUGGGUGUUGAGUCCAGUGGUGUUUGCUCUCUAGUUGAGUUUAGUUUUGUUCCUGGAUUAUUCCUUUGAAUUUGUGUGAGCCUUGUAUUUCUUGCUGCUGCUUUGCUANN